CAGGAGGACUGGUGCAGUUUUACUGCCCCCCUGUGCACACAAGAGAGACAUGUGAUGUGAUGUCACACGGGGUAGUUUUUACAAGGUCUGUGUCUGAUUAACUGUAAGGAUUCGAGUCAAAUGUCCCAUUACACAAAGGGCAUGGAGAAUGCCGUACCUCCUCGUCUUUCUCGCGGAUCAGCUUCUCCGUCUCGUUGUCCGUGGCACUGGUCACCAUUGGGAAGUCUGUGAUGCUCUCCCGGGUCAGUUUGCUGCUCAGAGAGACAAGCACACACACAUUCGCGGAUCCCCUGUGGUCUCCUGGUUGUCUGACAGAUCCCCUGUGGUCUCCUGGUCAUCCCCUGGAUCCUCUUUGUCUCCUGGUCAUCCCCUGGAUCCACUUUGGUCUCCUGGUCAUCCCCUGGAUCCUCUUUGGUCUCCUGGUUGUCUCCCGGAUCCCCUAUGGUCUCCUGGUCAUCCGCCGGACCCUUGUUGUCUCCUGGUUGUCUCCCGGAUCCCCUAUGGUCUCCUGGUCAUCCGCCGGACCAUUGUGGUCUCCUGGUUGUCUGUUGGCUCCACCUGAGUCCGCUGGUCUGCAGUGUUUAGCUUGUCUCCAGUAUGUGUCCAGCUCCAUGACCUUCACCCCAGUUUCCUGGUCCGCCAUAUCCAUAUUCAUGGAAAUGCAAAAAAUGUAUUUGGAAUAAUGGCACAAGCACACUUUUUAAACAAAAAAUGUCACAAAAAGAAGUUUUUAAGGUUGGAAAUGAUAAAACAAUACACAUAUUGUUCAGAAUUAUGACUGAAGGUAUUGUGACACCUUGUGUAUGUCAACCGUUAGUAGAACAUGUUGAUAGUGUAAGGCGGGUGCCAGUGAGUCUGGGCUACUCCUCGAGAAAACAAAAGGCUCUCAUGAGAAUUAACAUCUGAACUCUCUCUCGCAGAUGUAACAGCAACAUCCGAGAUGCAACAUACUGUGCAGCUAACACCUCCCUUCUAAAGUAUCUUCAUCUUACUCCUCCUCCUCACUUAAAGCUCACUAAAAACCUAUGCAAUGUGAAGUGUGUACAAAAAGUAACUAUAACAUGUUUGGUAUCAUUUAAAGUCUCUCAGUGCGCCUGGUAAACUGGUCUCAUCCUCCCAGCCAUAAUGAAAAGCAAAAAGAAGUUAUAAAAUAUGAGAACUGUGGUGUGCCCCUUAAAGGUGUGCC